rnacentral:lncRNA from 1 species
AAAAUAAAUAAACUGAAAAUUCGAAACUAAAUAAACUAAAAAUUCAGAAAAUAAAUAAACUGGAAUUAAAAUUUUCAGAAAAUAAAUAAAUAAACUGAAAAUUUGAAAAUAAAUAAAAAAUAAAUAAACCGGAAAUAAAUAAAUGAAUAAAUAAACUGGAAUUAAAAUAUUCAGAAGAUAAAUAAAUAAAUAAACUGAAAACUGAAAAAUAAAUAAACUUGAAAUAAAUAA